CUGCACUCCAGCCUGGGCGACAGAGCGAGACUCCGUGUCAAAUUUUCUUUUCCUUUUUUUUUUUUGAGAUAGACUUUCGCUCUGUUGCCCAGGCUGGAGUGCAGUGGCGCGAUCUCGGCUCACUGCAAGCUUCGCCUCCAGGGUUCAAGCGAUUCUCCUGCCUCA
rnacentral:sRNA from 1 species